rnacentral:lncRNA from 1 species
UCUUCCAGAGGUUUUUAAAUUCCAUGUUGAUUUCAGAUAGAUCUCUCUUCAAUAUCGUCAUGUCUUUAUUGAAGUAUUCUGUUCUCAAGUUUUGAAUUGUUCUCAUUAUUUCUGUUAGCUUUAUGCUUGAGUUUUCUUGGGCAUUGCUCAGAUAUUUUUUUCUUCUGUAAUUCUUUUUCCUCAAUUUCAAUAAGUGAUUUCUUUGUUUCUUUAAAUUCCUUGAACUCUUUGAUGAAAUUUAUGUUUUUUUUUUUCAAAUUCUGUGUUCUGAAUUUGUGUAGGUAAUUCUCAUUGGCAAGGAUUUCUACAGGAUUGGUAGAUUUCGGAGAGGAGAUACUGGCUGAAUCUUUUACUUUGUUGCUGCUUUUGCAAUGAAUUUUAGCAUGUUGACUUAUCUUCUUUUUUUUUUUUUUUUAGACAGGGUUUCUCUGUGUAGCUUUGGAGCCUAACCUGGCACUGGCUCUGUAGACCAGUCUGGCCUCAAACUGACAGAGAUCCACCUGCCUCUGCCUCCUGAGUACUGGGAUUAAAAGCAUGCACCACCAACACCAGUCUGCAUGUUGACUUUCUUUUGUUAGUUCUAAAUCUGAUAUGGGCAGGGAAAGUUGAGGAGAGAGAAGAGAUGAUGAUCAGGUGCUUUGGGAUCUGAGAUUGGAAGUGGCUUGGGUGAAAGAAAGUCAGAGAUACUGAGAGACUGCUUAAGUAUACAGUUUGUCUCCUCUUCCUCAUAUAAGUGUGUAUACAAAAUAAGUUAUAUACAGUACUGGGUGUUAUUGAGAUAGGAGGUUGAAGGCUUGGAGUACAGAAAUGCUUUCAAGCACCUUAAUUAUAUUUUGUGAGUGUUUUCCUAAUUAGACUUCAAACCCCAAGGUUACUUCCUCCACUACAGCAAGACAUAAAUACACCAAUGAAGACAGAUUCCAACUGGGUGAGAACUUCAACAGUAUGAAAUGCUACCAUGGGUUCUAAGUUUCUUUCAGUCAAUAUUUUGAUAGGAUUCCAGAGCACUCCAUCCUAUAAAUUACUGCUAUUGUUAAGGGAGGGCAGGUUCUUCAUAAAAAUCCUCCCUCAAUGAUGCAUUAAUACAACACAUCAGAG